CGAAAGCCUGACGGAGCAAGACCGCGUGGGGGAGGAAGGCUCUAGGGUUGUAAACCCCUUUGCUUUGGGAAGAACAAAAUGACGGUACCAAAGGAAUCAGCCUCGGCAAACUCCGUGCCAGCAGACGCGGUAAUACGGAGGAGGCAAGCGUUAUCCGGAAUGAUUGGGCGUAAAGCGUCCGCAGGUGGCUUGUCAAGUCUGCUGUCAAAGACUGGGGCUUAACUCCGGGCAGGCAGUGGAAACUGACAGGCUAGAGUGCAGGAGGGGUAGAGGGAAUUCCCGGUGUAGCGGGGAAAUGCGUAGAUAUCGGGAAGAACAUCGGUGGCGAAGGCGCUCUACUGGACUGCAACUGGCACUCAGGGACGAAAGCUAGGGGAGCG
rnacentral:rRNA from 1 species